CUGCAGCCAGUUGAGCUGACUGAGUUCCUUUCCUCAUGGGGGCCCAGUGUGCAGUGGCUACAAACAGCAGCUUCUUUGGUAGUAUACUCAGCCUGUUUCUUUUUUUUUUUUGAGGCGGAGUUUCACUCUUGUUACCCAG